AACAUGCGUCAUUUGACUACCGAGCCCGAUUUAAUUUUUCGGGAGAGGGCAAAGCACAACUGGUUGUAUACGAAUCGGAAUGUCAGCGGUGAAAAAUAUACUACAGGUACAGGACACAGUGAAACCAAAUAGCCCAAACAAUUACAACGAAUACAACCUCGAAAAAGGUUGUAGCUGUAGAUAAUCUCAGUAACUUUUUAAGUCCACACAGGCGUCCGUAUGUACAGCAUCUUCAUUCAUAACGGUAUAAAUCGACAUCGACAUACUACACGUUUAAUGGAACACAACAUCAAAACAAUCCUCGUAGACCUGAGUGGUACGCUUCAUAUUGAGAAUGAAGAAAUUCCAGGAUCGGUGGAAGCUUUGAAAAGGUUGCGGAAUUCAAAAUUAAAUGUUAAAUUUGUUACAAAUACUACAAAAGAAUCACAAAGACUUUUGUUUGAGAGGUUGAGGAAUCUUGGAUUUGAUAUUGAAUCCAGGGAAAUUUUCACCUCUUUAACUGCUGCUGUGAAAUUGAUCAAACAAAACUCUUACCGACCUCUCCUGAUGGUUGAUGACAGAUCUCUGGAGGAUUUCAAAGGAAUUGAAACAAAGAAUGCAAAUGCAGUUGUUGUUGGACUUGCUCCAGAAAAGUUUCAGUACAACACCUUGAAUCAAGCAUUUAGACUUUUGAUGGAUGGGGCCCCUCUUAUAGCCAUACACAAAACCAGGUACUACAGAACAGGUUCUGGGUUAUCCUUAGGUCCAGGACCAUUUGUUACUGGACUAGAAUAUGCAGCAGAUUGUAAGGCUGAAGUAGUAGGAAAACCAGAGAAAGCAUUUUUCCUGUCUGCUGUUGAAGAGUUCCAGUGUCAUCCAAAUGAAUGCAUUAUGAUUGGAGAUGUAAUUCAUUGAAUUUUAUUAUUACAAUGUGUUAUAAUAAUACCGUAUAUCAGGUUUUUUCCGCGUCAUGUUUUUUCCGCGAAUCAGAACCUAGAACGGUUUAUAAAAUUUACGCAAAUCAAAUUUUCACUAUUUCAAGUCAUAUAGUUAAAAUAUAAUUCUUGACUGUUUAAAUCUGCGAAGUAAGAGGGAAAACGUAUUUAAAUUGUCACACUAAAUUAUUAUGAAAAAUUCGGACAAUAAAACCAUUUACACGAUUUUCUUAAUGUGAAAUAAUUAUUGAUAAAUAUUUUUAGAGUCGCAUACAGUCAAAUAUCAGUAGAUCAUGUACCGUUACAUACAUUAGUAGCUGAUCAUGUAUACAUUUAAUUAGACAUCGGUUUACGCAAGGAAAGUGACUGUUUAAAUUAGCAUGUUAAUGGAUUAUUAAAUAAACAUCGAGGCUUGUAACACAUCUGUUAUCUGGUGAUUGUCCUCCCAUCCCGCUAUAUUUACCUCUAAUAAACUGUCUGAGCACAGUUCAUGGGUACUGUGACUUACCCGUUUCCUUUUUUAGGAAAGCGAGGACUCAAUAACAAGAACAAAACUUUGUAUCAAAUUUACGCUGAUUUAUUUUCCGCGAUUCGGAAAUUGUCACGAACAAAGCGGAAAUUGGAUACACGCGGAAAAAACCUGAUAUACGGUAUUGGCAAAUUUGCUUCUUUCAUAUAAAAAAAAAAUUAUUUGAUCUCCAAGAAUUAUGGGUAUAAAAAAGUUUGAUGUAAAAGUCAAGGGGAGACAUUUUUGAAAGGGGAGUUUGGAAUGGGGGGCUUUAUCAAAAACUUAAAAUUAAUAUAAAUUUUUCAGGAUGUGAAAGAUGACAUCCAUGGAGCUCAGGGCUGUGGAAUGCUGGGUAUCCUUGUACAGACUGGAAAAUACAGACCCAAUGAUGAAGACAAAAUUGAUCCAAAGCCAUUUUUGACUGUCAGAAACUUUUCAGAGGCAGUUGAUAAAAUUAUAUCCACUUCGUCAUGACACGAGGAGAUUUAUUUAUAUAAAUCUACUCUAUAGUUAAAAGACCACUCUUAUGUGAACUGCAAAAAUUGGCACAUAAUUAGUAUCUACAUGUUGUUUAUUUGCAUGUUUAAUCUGUUUACUACUUGAAGGAGAGGUCUAACUUGUUCUUCUAGUCCAGAGCUCUGAUCAUUAUACAUGUAUUUAUGUACAUUGAGAGCAGCAUAUUAUUUGGCAAGACAGUGAGGAUGCCUUCAUGAGGAGGGGAAUAGUAGAUCUUUUUAAAGUGGCUGAUGAUGUUGCAAAGCAAAUUACAUGCAGUACUUGAAUGCAUACAAAUAGUAUGUAUGUAUCUAAUAAAGUAGUACAUGUAAAUGGAAAGUUUUCAAGUACAUGUACAUGUAUCUGG
rnacentral:misc_RNA from 1 species